AUUGAGCGCUGGCGGCAGGCCUAACACAUGCAAGUCGAGCGGAUGAAGGGAGCUUGCUCCUGGAUUCAGCGGCGGACGGGUGAGUAAUGCCUAGGAAUCUGCCUGGUAGUGGGGGAUAACGUCCGGAAACGGGCGCUAAUACCGCAUACGUCCUGAGGGAGAAAGUGGGGGAUCUUCGGACCUCACGCUAUCAGAUGAGCCUAGGUCGGAUUAGCUAGUUGGUGGGGUAAAGGCCUACCAAGGCGACGAUCCGUAACUGGUCUGAGAGGAUGAUCAGUCACACUGGAACUGAGACACGGUCCAGACUCCUACGGGAGGCAGCAGUGGGGAAUAUUGGACAAUGGGCGAAAGCCUGAUCCAGCCAUGCCGCGUGUGUGAAGAAGGUCUUCAGAUUGUAAAGCACUUUAAGUUGGGAGGAAGGGCAGUAAGUUAAUACCUUGCUGUUUUGACGUUACCAACAGAAUAAGCACCGGCUAACUUCGUG
rnacentral:rRNA from 1 species